rnacentral:rRNA from 1 species
CUAUGCGCCUUGCCAGCCCGCUCAGGUGUGCCAGCAGCCGCGGUAAUACGUAGGGGGCAAGCGUUAUCCGGAUUUACUGGGCGUAAAGGGAGCGUAGACGGCAGUGCAAGUCUGGAGUGAAAGGCGGGGGCUCAACCCCCGGACUGCUCUGGAAACUGUACAGCUGGAGUGCAGGAGAGGUAAGUGGAAUUCCUAGUGUAGCGGUGAAAUGCGUAGAUAUUAGGAGGAACACCAGUGGCGAAGGCGGCUUACUGGACUGUAACUGACGUUGAGGCUCGAAAGCGUGGGGAGCAAACAGG